rnacentral:misc_RNA from 1 species
UUAAGUUCAGCGGGUAGUCCUACCUGAUUUGAGGUCAGAUCAUGAAGUGUCCCGAAAGACAUCCCUAAGGAGGUUAGGAGCGGUCGACAAGACGAAACUUAUUACGUCAACAACCGCUAAUACAUUUAAGGCGAGCCAUGUAACUGGCAAGCGCCCAAGUCCACCGAUCGGAAACCCGAGGGGGUGAGGUGUUCAUGACA